rnacentral:rRNA from 1 species
UACUAAGUGAUAGGAGAGCGAUCUAUUUGCGUCGCAGGUAUACCGGUAAGGAGUGCUGUCGCGACUAGAAGUGAGCAUGCAGGCAUGAGUAGCGAUAAUUAAUGUGAGAAUCAUUAACGCCGUAAACACAAGGUUUCUUACGCGAUGCUGGUCAUGGUAGGGUAAGUCGGCUCCUACGUCGCGUCCGAAGCGGGGAGACGUUGGUACAUUGGGUAAGAUUCCAAUACCAACAUUAGUGUGCGAUGGAAGGACGCUUAGGGCUAAGGGGGCUAGCGGAUGGAAGUGCUAGUCUAAGGCCGUAGGAGGUUAUACAGGCAAAUCCGUAUAACAAUACUACGAGAACUGAAAGGCUUUUUGAAGUCUUCGGAUGGAUAGAAGAACCCCUGAUGCCGUCGAGCCAAGAAAAGUUUCUAAGUUUAGCUAAUGUUGCCCGUACCGUAAACCGACACAGGUGGGUGGGAUGAGUAUUCUAAGGCGCGUGGAAGAACUCUCUUUAAGGAACUCUGCAAAAUAGCACCGUAUCUUCGGUAUAAGGUGUGGUUAGCUUUGUAUUAGGAUUUACUCCGAAAGCAAGGAAACUUACAACAAAGAGUCCCUC